UACGUAGGGUGCGAGCGUUAAUCGGAAUUACUGGGCGUAAAGCGUGCGCAGGCGGUUUUGUAAGGCAGGUGUGAAAUCCCCGGGCUCAACCUGGGAAUGGCAUUUGGGACUGCAAGGCUGGAGUGCGGCAGAGGAGACUGGAAUUCCUGGUGUAGCAGUGAAAUGCGUAGAUAUCAGGAGGAAUACCGAUGGCGAAGGCAGGUCUCUGGGUCUCUACCGACGCUGGGGUGCGAAAGCAUGGGGAGCGAACAGG
rnacentral:rRNA from 1 species